GAACUACUCCCUCCGUUCGGAAUUACUUGUCUCGGAAAUGGAUGUAUCUAGACGUAUUUUAGUUCUAGAUACAUCCAUUUCGGAGACAAGUAAUCCUGAACGGAGGGAGUACCAA
rfam:Triticum aestivum genome assembly, contig: Triticum_aestivum_CS42_TGACv1_scaffold_288605_4AL